rnacentral:rRNA from 1 species
AACGAACGCUGGCGGCAUGCCUAACACAUGCAAGUCGAACGAGACCUUCGGGUCUAGUGGCGCACGGGUGCGUAACGCGUGGGAACCUGCCCUUAGGUUCGGAAUAACUCCCCGAAAGGGGUGCUAAUACCGGAUAAUGUCUUCGGACCAAAGAUUUAUCGCCUUUGGAUGGGCCCGCGUUGGAUUAGCUAGUUGGUAGGGUAAAAGCCUACCAAGGCGACGAUCCAUAGCUGGUCUGAGAGGAUGAUCAGCCACACUGGGACUGAGACACGGCCCAGACUCCUACGGGAGGCAGCAGUGGGGAAUAUUGGACAAUGGGCGAAAGCCUGAUCCAGCAAUGCCGCGGGAGUGAUGAAGGCCUUAGGGUUGUAAAGCUCUUUUACCCGGGAUGAUAAUGACAGUACCGGGAGAAGAAGCUCCGGCUAACUCCGUG